AGAAACUGGAAGAAACAGCCAUUGAGGAGAAACUCGAAGAACCAGCAGUUGAGGAGAAACCUAACAAACCAGCGGUUAAAGAGACACCUGAAGAACCUGCAGUGAAAGAAACACCUGAACAACCAACGGUUGAAGAGAAACCUCAAGAACCAGCAAUUCAAGAGAAACCUCAAGAACCAACAGUUGAAAAGAAACCUGAAGAACCAACAAUUGAUGAAGAACUUGAAGAGCCAACAGUUGCGGAGAAACCUGAAGAACCAGCAGUUAAAGAAAACCAUGUAGAACCAGAAGUUGAUGAAAAACGUGAAGAACCACAAGUUGAAGAAAAACAUGAGGAACCAGCAGUUGAAGAAAAACCUAAAGAACCAAAAGUUGAGGAGAAACCGGAAGAACCAGCGGUUGAGGAGAAACCCGAAGAACCAGCAGUGAAAGAAAC
rnacentral:lncRNA from 1 species